AUUCGAUCUUUAAGACUCUUUCUACCACACUUCGUGCAAGUCUUCCCUCUCCUGGCUCCAAGAGGUGUUGCCAAAGGAGAUUACCAUCUGAGUCAGUGGACUGGGAGAGACAGACCCACCCUCAGUCUGGGUGGGUACCAUCUAAUCAGCUACCCACACGGCUAGAAUAAAGCAGGCAGAAGAAAGUGAUCAACAGACUUGCUGAGUCUUCUGGCCUUCAUCUUUCUCCCGUGCUGGAUGCUUCCUGCCCCUGAACGUCAGACUCCAAGUUCUUCAGAUUAUGGACACUUGGACUUACACCAGUGGUUCACCAGGGGCUCUCGAGCCUUUGGCCACAGACUGAGCACCAUCCUAUUACAAAUCUGCCAGCCUACAGACUAGUAAAACGCGCUGACCCAAGAGAAAGCAAAAAGCGGCCCCUUUCCCCGGCUCCAGCGCUGCUCGGCCAGGCUUCACUUUUAAAGGCGAGCAUCAUUGGUUCAUGCGCCACAGGAAAUGGAGCCAUCACAGGACGGGCCAAAGACACCUGUCUUCUCAUCCCUCUUCUCACUUUUCACUUCAAAGGCACGCACCUCAUCAGGGAAGAAAAAGGAAAGCUGAGAGGAACUGAGACAGCAGUUUUAGGUGAUGGGUUAAUUAUGCACAGUUGUGCCUUCCUCUCUCCUUUCUCAAUCUUCGCCCCAAGUCCUGCCUCCAGGUUUAUGCUGCAGAGUGUCCGUGGAAGGGUGGCUCUUACAUGGUAGCUCUGAAAAGCUUGACAUUAUUUUACUAAGUGAAUGCAAGAAUUCUCAUGUGGGCAUCUCCACUCAUGGAUAGGAUUGCCAGAUUUAGCAAAUAAAAGUACAAUGAAAUAUCCAAUUACACUUGAAUUUCAGAUAAUCAACAAAUACUUCUUUUUCGUACAGUUAUGCCCUGUUUAACCUCUACUGUUCCACUAGGGAUAUACUUGUAUUGCGCACUUACCUGUUGUUUAUAUAAAAUUCAAAUUUAACCAGGCAUCCCACUCAUGGGGCCCCAGACCAAACGGAAGCCCCC
rnacentral:lncRNA from 1 species